rnacentral:rRNA from 1 species
GUCUACGGCCAUGCCACCCUGAACAAGCCCGAUCCUGUCUGAUCUCAGAAGCUAAACAAGAUCAGGCCUGGUUAGCACAUGGAUGGGAGACCACCAAGGAAGACCAGGUGCUGUAGGCA